rnacentral:rRNA from 1 species
GACGAACGCUGGCGGCGUGCUUAACACAUGCAAGUCGAACGGAAAGGCCCUGCUUUUGUGGGGUGCUCGAGUGGCGAACGGGUGAGUAACACGUGAGUAACCUGCCCUUGACUUUGGGAUAACUUCAGGAAACUGGGGCUAAUAUCGGAUAGGAGCUCCUGCUGCAUGGUGGGGGUUGGAAAGUUUCGGCGGUUGGGGCUGGACUGGCGGCUUAUCAGCUUGUUGGUGGGGUAGUGGCUUACCAAGGCUUUGACGGGUAGCCGGCCUGAGAGGGUGACCGGCCACAUUGGGACUGAGAGACGGCCCAGACGCCUACGGGAGGCAGCAGUGGGGAAUAUGGCACAAUGGGCGGAAGCCUGAUGCAGCAACGCCGCGGGCGGGAUGACGGCCUUCGGGGUGUAAACCGCUUUCGCCUGUGACGAAGCGUGAGUGACGGUAAUGGGUAAAGAAGCACCGGCUAACUACGUG